rnacentral:tRNA from 1 species
GCCGUAGAGGCCUUGUGGGUGAGGCACCUGGCUUCCAACCAGAAGAACGGGGUUCGACUCCCCGCUACGGCU